ensembl:miRNA
GGCUGGGUGCUCUCGUUCAGUGAGCAACCUGCACAACUGCACAUGGCAACCUAGCUCCCA